AAAACAGAAGUAACACUACACCUGGCUUCGGCCCAGAAUUUGGCGCAAGCCCUGUUUUA
rnacentral:tRNA from 1 species